GUGACAAGGUUGUUGCGUCGAUUUCUUUGCCACCUAUUCCUGGAGCUCUCUUCGCCAAAAAACUUUGUGACUUUCUCGUCAGCUUGGAGGCUGACGACCUAGGAUCUGGUAAGACCAUUGGUUGUCUUCUGAAGGAGAGGGAACUGAGAAGGAAAAGCAAGGUGGGACCUGACAUCCUAAACGAGAAAUUAUUCAAGAGCAAAAUCAGAAAGAGCGGUGCCUCAAGGAAGGCGUUAACGGCUGCUUGAUCACUAUUCCAUCUUCUUUGUUGUUCUUGGGUAUGUUUCCCUGUGGUGUUCCGAGUGAGGUUCCUUUACGAGGUGUUUACUCUGUGGGUUUCAGUGUUAACUGACUUGAGUGUGGCUCGCGUUGUCACGAGAGUGGGCGUGUUCAUGUGGUGUUGUUGUUGUAUGUUUUUCGCCCGGUUUUCCACAAAUCAACUGGGCACCUUCUUCUUAAUUAAUAUAUAAGGCAAAGCUUUUGCCUUUCAUUCAAAAAAAAAAACAGUUUACCAAUCUCUCUUUUUAGGUGCUCCGUCGGCGGCAAUUUUUUUUUCAUUGCAGGCCGUCAGCUGGACUCCUUAAACACGGUAGAUCGAAUUCGGAGGCCCAUGUACUGAAUGCGAACAACGGCCCUCGUUCACGUUCGCAGACCAGACCACAACAAUUAGCGGCACAGAAAGAACGCUUCUCCUUCCCGAUGACUUAACUGUAUUUCCUGGCGACUUAAUGGUGGAUUCAUGGUGCUCUACCUUCUCUUCAAUAUAAAUAUGUGGACACGGAACCUAUCUUUCCUCAGUGCUUCCAUCCUCUUUGCAUUGACACUGAAAUUUUGCGAUUCAUGGAGUUUCUCUCGUGUGGGAAUUGGGGCGAGGAGAUAUAUGUUGCAUGGAUAUUGCAACUGACCUGGAUGGGGUUAUGCAGUUGAUAAAUUUAGUAUGGGAAACGACAAGGCAAGACGUAUGGAUGUGUGUCUUAUGUCAUACUUUUCUAUGAUUUGUUCGUCACCACUGACUUCUGAGAAGCGUGAAGUCAUUGAUUUUCAGGGACAUGUUCCACCAUUUGAGAAGCACCAGAGGAAUUUUUAUGAGGGCUUUUAUCAGACUGUAGUUACCACAUUGGCAGUGAAGACUAAACUGCUGUUUGCUGGUGGAAUUAAGGGAGAACUAAUUUACAAGCCAACUUGUCUUCAUUUUUAACCUUGCAUUCCAUCUCUGACAUCUACAGCCACUUACAAUUUAUUAAUUGUCCGAGGAAUGCAGUUUUUGGACCAUGAAGGAAUAAGCUAUUCUUGCCUGUCAACACAUGAUGACGAAGGCAUUAUUAAUUGUCUGGAGAUAUUUGAGAAACCAAGCACACAUCAUUCAUCCCUGCUGGUAAAAUCAUUGCUGUUGUGGGAGGCGAUCCUGACUGUGAUGUAUACUGAAGACAAUCUAGCUUAUUAUUCUGGACAUUGCUAUUUUGGCGAGAGCAAAAUUCUAGAGGAGCAUAAGUGGCUUUCUGAAACCUGCUGGCAGCAAACUUGUAUUCAGUUGAUACUGAGACCUUACAAAGUGUGUGUGUAGUCUUUUGGUUGGAAAAGGUGGUGUUCGUAACUUAGAGCAUCUCCAGUCGCGUCUCCCCAAACCGCGCCAGAUCGAGC